ACCCGAUCUGGAAGAGUAAAAUGGAUAAAUAGUGGUUUUUUGUUAAUUUAUAUUGAGCGUCCCACCUUCGUUGUUUACAUUUUCUUGUUGAUACAGCUGUUAGUGUUGUUCAUUUGUUAAUAGCUCCGGCUGUUUGAUGUUAUCGAUUAUGUGGUUCAUUUUGAAUAGUGUUGUGUAGGUCUGUUUUGCUACAGACGUUGUAGCACUAACCAUACAAUGCAUAGACUUGUCAAACAGCGGAAUAGUCGGAUACCGAUAAAUCGUCAACGACUGAGCCCCAUGGGUGUCCGCGACCAUUUUAGUGGGCCCAGACAAAGUAAGACUGCUGAGAGUGGCAGCCGAACGCCGGCCCCGAAAGCCGAACGUUCAGUAUGAAGCCGCAUCUCGCUCAGCGCACAACGUUGCUGCGGCUGAUGUUGUUUCGUAAUAUAUGUAUGUUAGUAUUAAAUCUUUUCAGCCCAAAUACAUACAUAUGUGUAUAUGCGUGUGCAGAGUGUGCCUCGCUCACACUUAUUGCUUUGCACACAUGUGGGCAUCUCCUUCUCCCUGCAUAGCUUCUCAAAAACCCCGAGAUCUACAAACAUAUAUAUGUUUGUGUUGUGUGGAUGUGCGCACAAGUAGAUCGCGGCGUUUGUCGCGAGCCAGAGAUUUUUUCUGCAAUUGUGUGCCCUCUGUGCGUUGCUCUCGAAGUGCCCAAAUAAUUGCUAACAUUUCCUUUUCAUUUGUUGAGUAGUUUUCGUCUGAUUAACUGAGUGUUCAUGAUAGGAAGGUUAGUAGCCUGUCUCCUUGCGUCAGCGGUUAGUUCAAAUGGCUCAUUGAAGUUGGGAAAAUGUAAUAUGAUCUUUAAAUUUUAUGAAGGCUUCUAUUUACUUUGCAUUUAAGUUAAUAGGAGUUCUUUUUGAGAUUGUUUUAGAGAUUGUUCCCGCCUCUCCGCUAAGUAGCGUAGUUACCUUUGUUAAACCUGCGAUUAUAUCCUGAAAUGUCUUAAAAUAAACGAAGGUCAUGGAUUGUUUUUAGUUUGGGAAAAUUAACUAUUGCUUCUAUUUUUUUUGGGUUGGUUCUUAAACCAUCUUUGCUGAUUUCGUUUCCUAUGUGUUCUCUUGUUAAGUCAUCAAGAGUACUUUAAAUAAUAGAUGCGGCCUUGCGUAGCCCGAAGUAAGGUCUUAAUAACUGGAAUUUACCAUUAUUAAUUGAAAUGGCUGUCUUUUCUAUGUCGGAAUCUUUCAGAGCGAAUUGUUUAAACCCGCUUUUAAGGUCGACUGUAGUGAAGAAAUUUUUCUCACCGAGGUUUUAUAAAAUGCUGUUUAUUUCUGGCAUUGGUUACCUGUCAGGAGUGGUAAUUUCGUUCAACUUUCUAUAGUCAAUUGUUACGGAAACUGCUUGUUUCUCGGUGGGCCGCGCCGGCUGGCUCAUCGGUUCUCUGGGUGUAGUCCCAUCCCUGGCCCGCAGUCCGCACAAUCGAUACCAACAAAACUAUAACCACUAACCAUACAAUGCAUAGGCUUGUCAAACAGCGGAAUAAUCGGAUACCGAUAAAUCGUCAACGACUGAGCCCCAUGGGUGUCCGCGACCAUUUUAGUGUGCCCAGACAAAGUAAGACUGCUGAGAGUGGCAGCCGAACGCCGGCCUCGAAAGCCGAACGUUCAGUAUGAAGCCGCAUCUCGCACAGCGCGCAACUCAAAAUUUACACAGAUCAGCAGCCGUUAACCUUUGCGCUUAACAACAAAAAUAGUGACGCUAAAAUGAAAAGAUGGAAGGCUCAGGAUACCUCCACUCAGAAAUUUACAAUGUCAUGCAAUCGGACAUUUCUUUUCUACUUCACCAGAACAUCUGCAACCUUCUUUAUGUAAUUUCAUGCAAAUGAGCAAAUUAGUCUACAAGUCGAGAAAAUCCCCACAAACCCUUGCUGGCCGCCGCUGAAACACCACAUGGAGAAAUAAUAUAGAAUAAUUGAUUGGUCGAGGGACGUAAGCACGACUCACGCAGAAAUAUACAUAUAAUCCAUAAACAGCCACACUACUACUCAACAGCCACACCAAUUACUGAGUCUUAAUGAAAAAAAAAACAAAUUGAAAUAGCAGCACAGAAAACAAUACAAUCGCAAUUGCAAUGCUGUUGAUAGAAUUUAAAGCAGACGCGCAUGAAUGUGUGUGUGUACAUGUAUACAGAAAUUCUUGGAAUUUGCGCUAGCUGCCGCAAACACGUGGGCAGCCGAAGUACAUUUUCUUUUGUGUUUCAUACCCGAUCUUGAUGUAAUUUUCAUCAGUAGAUCUUAUUGUACUUUAAAAUAUUCAUGUAUUCUCACAAUUGCAUUUAAAUUGUGGCUUAGUGGCUUAGUGUCUUGUGGCAUUUAGUUCUUAUAGGUUCUGAGAUCCUUGCGUUCAUACAUACGGACGGACGGACAUACAGACGGACACGGCUAGAUCGACUCGGCUGUUGAUGCUGAUUAAGACUAUAUAUACUUUAUGGGGUCGGAGAUGCUUUCUUCUGCCUGUUACAUACAUUUGCAAAAUGUACAUACAAUUUGCACAAAUACAUUAUAUCCUUUUUACCUAUUUUAUGGGUUCAGGGUAUAAAAACAAAUAUGCUUAGAUUAUAAAGGUUAUCUAAGUCGCUUAAAAUUACUUACCCUACCUAAAGAGCUCUCUGGGCGAGAUAAGGGGCGAUACGUGUUAUUCAUAAACAUAUAUUUUUUUGGUUUAAUCUCUAUUCCUUUUUUCUUCCUUUUCUUUAAGGGCUGGUAUAUAUGUAUGUAUAUAUUUACGCAAGUGUGCAAAAUUUCAUUCUGCGCUCGACUAUUGCGGUCGGCAGACGCAAUGGUGUUUGGGGACGUUCCUUCCCGUUACAGGAUUACUUGCUAGUUUUAUUAGGUGAAAUACGCAGAGCGAGAGAUAUGAUUCAAUUUAUACAAACAAACUUUAAUCUAUGAAUAGAAAAAAAACUGCAGCUUGAUGCAGCAGCACGCCGUUUUUGGCUGAGUCUGUGGGGCGGUGUGCUUAGAACGGACUCACUUAAUAAUAAGCAAAUAAUAAAAAAUAGUUCAUAGGCCAUAGAUACUUUAUGUUUUUCUGGAAAAGUUAUUUUUCAAAGGUGCGCUUGCGCACACCACGCCACUAACAGCUGACCAAAUCGAACUCCUCUACUGCACAUUUGGGCAGCAACAUCAUCGGUGCCGAAUUUCGGCACACGCAUACAUUUACGAGGCGAGCACCGUUGCUGCCCAUCUGCACAGCUGCAUUUUUUUGGGUCAACGGCCCAAAUGAUGGCCAAGGGCAUUUAAUGGCACCGCGAUCCUCUCUUCCUGUAAUCUCUUUAGGAGCGAAUCGGGCGGCCAAUAGCAAUCGCCCCUUUUGGCGCCGUGGAUCGCAAGCCCGGCGUUGCCACUCUUCAAUAAAUUGGGAGCCGCUGUGUGCUCGGCUUCACUCCCGAUACUCUGACCUUAUGACAAAAGAUAUCGGCGUGGCCGAUAAUAAAGAACGCACCCAACUAGGCAAACUAUCGAUGCUGCCGAUAACGUCAAAUGCAACACAUUCGAUAAGAAAAUGGGAUAAAAACGAAAUCUGAAGACUUCAAAAUAAUAGCAAAUAAUAUGAACAUAAUAAAACAAGUAAGAGGUUCUAGUCGGGACUUCCCGACUAGGGGAUACCCUGAACCCUCUUCUUUCAUCACCAACUGCUACGCGCUCGUUUGAUUUAGUAGUAAUAAAGAAAAAUGAAAAAAAAAAAAAAAAUAUUGUUCCCUUGGCAAGGCUCGAA